GGGGGUACGUUUAUCGGCACUAUUGGGCGUAAGGGCUCGCAGGCGGUUUCUUAAGUCUGAUGUGAAAGCCCCCGGCUCAACCGGGGAGGGUCAUUGGAAACUGGGAAACUUGAGUGCAGAAGAGGAGAGUGGAAUUCCACGUGUAGCGGUGAAAUGCGUAGAGAUGUGGAGGAACACCAGUGGCGAAGGCGACUCUCUGGUCUGUAACUGACGCUGAGGAGCGAAAGCGUGGGGAGCGAACAGGAUUAGAUACCCUGGUAGUCCACGCCGUAAACGAUGAGUGCUAAGUGUUAGGGGGUUUCCGCCCCUUAGUGCUGCAGCUAACGCAUUAAGCACUCCGCCUGGGGAGUACGGUCGCAAGACUGAAACUCAAAGGAAUUGACGGGGGCCCGCACAAGCGGUGGAGCAUGUGGUUUAAUUCGAAGCAACGCGAAGAACCUUACCAGGUCUUGACAUCCUCUGACAACCCUAGAGAUAGGGCUUUCCCUUCGGGGACAGAGUGACAGGUGGUGCAUGGUUGUCGUCAGCUCGUGUCGUGAGAUGUUGGGUUAAGUCCCGCAACGAGCGCAACCCUUGAUCUUAGUUGCCAGCAUUCAGUUGGGCACUCUAAGGUGACUGCCGGUGACAAACCGGAGGAAGGUGGGGAUGACGUCAAAUCAUCAUGCCCCUUAUGACCUGGGCUACACACGUGCUACAAUGGACAGAACAAAGGGCUGCGAGACCGCAAGGUUUAGCCAAUCCCACAAAUCUGUUCUCAGUUCGGAUCGCAGUCUGCAACUCGACUGCGUGAAGCUGGAAUCGCUAGUAAUCGCGGAUCAGCAUGCCCGGUGGAAAACCUUUCCCCGGGCCUUGUACACACCGCCCGUCACACCACGAGAGUUUGCAACACCCGAAGUCGGUGAGGUAACCUUUAUGGAGCCAGCCGCCGAAGGUGGGGCAGAUGAUUGGGUGAUUAGCAGAAGCCCCCCACCAACAACACAAAGAAAAAGGGGGGGGGGAAGGGGGGGGGAGG
rnacentral:rRNA from 3 species